GCCGAAGUGGUGGAAUUGGUAGACACGCCAUCUUGAGGGGGUGGUGGGGCUUUCUCGUGCGGGUUCAAGUCCCGCCUUCGGCA
rnacentral:tRNA from 1 species